GCCAGGAGGGCUGGUAUUCUGCGCGCCUGUAAUCCUAGCUACUGGGGAGGCUGAGGAGAGAGGAUCGCUUGAACCCAGGGGUUCUGGGCCGUAGUGCACUGUGUCACUAGAUAGAGUGUCUGUACUUAAGUUCAGGAGGGAGGGACCCCCCCAGGUUGCCUAAGGAGGGAUGAACCGGCCCAGGUCGGAAACGGAGCAGGUCAAAACUCCCGUGCUGAUCAGUAAUGGGAUCAUACCUGUGAACAGCCACUGCACUGCAGCCUGGGCAACAUGGGGAGACCCUGUCUCUA
ensembl:misc_RNA Metazoa_SRP Metazoan signal recognition particle RNA